ACUGAACGCUGGCGGCGUGCUUAACACAUGCAAGUCGAUCGGCAACAGGUGUAGCAAUACAUGCUGACGAGAGGCGGACGGGUGAGUAAUGCUUGGGAAUCUGCCUAUUAGUGGGGGACAACCCGGGGAAACUCGGGCUAAUACCGCAUACGCUCUACGGAGGAAAGCCGGGGACCGCAAGGCCUGGCGCUAAUAGAUGAGCCCAAGUCGGAUUAGCUAGUUGGUAGGGAACGGCCUACCAAGGCGACAAUCCGUAGCUGGUCUGAGAGGACGACCAGCCACACCGGAACUGAGACACGGUCCGGACUCCUACGGGAGGCAGCAGUGGGGAAUAUUGGACAAUGGGGGCAACCCUGAUCCAGCGACGCCGCGUGGGUGAAGAAGGCCUGCGGGUUGUAAAGCCCUUUCGGGUGGGGAAGAAAAGUCUCGACCUAAUACGUCGGGACCUUGACGUAACCCACUAAAGAAGCACCGGCUAACUCUGUGCCAG
rnacentral:rRNA from 1 species